CACUUCCUUUUCUCUGGAUCCGAUCAAAUGAAUGCUCUGGUCGCAUUCCCCAGAAGAGGUUCGUGCGCGUCCACUGGAGAGCGGACCUUGAGUUGACAGUCCCUUCCCCAUGCAUUAUAACACGUGCCCGGUACCGCUGGGUAACAGGGGUGUUUUGGUAAGCAAGCAGCCUUCCCACUCUGUGCGCUACUGCGCAGCUGUCUUAGCCCCAAGGACGUUUGUACCUCCCCCUAUAGACCAAUGGAGGGUGAUGGUGUCACCCUCCAGUUACAGUACCCUUAGGAAGGCUGAGGUAGGACGCGGCCCUUCUCUACUUAUGUCAGAAGUGACAGCAUAGACAUGAGAACGCUAUGGUUUGCAAGAGCACAGUGAAGAUGUUUGUUCUUAUUCAGAUGUCACCUUUGGGCUUGUAAUCAAGGAAAUGCGGCAAAUUAAGGUCAAGGCCAAGCAAAAAUUUGGCAGGGGAAUAAAUGAAAUGAUCUAGGUUCUUUACAGGCAAAAUCUCAACACUCAUCCUUGUAGCCUAUGGGGCAUCAUGAAAAUCUUGUCAUAAAGGCACAUUAUUAUGGGUGUAUAAUACCCAUAUUUUAUUCUUUAGAAUAGUUCUGUUGAAUUUUUAAUUUUCUGAGUUUUUGUUAAACAGUGACAGCCGGAUGUGGUGGCACACACCUGUAAUCCCAGCACUCAGGAGGCUGAGGCAGGAGGAUCGUUGUGAAUUCAAGACUAGUCUGGAUUACAAAGUGAAUUCAAGGCCAGAACUGCAUAGUGAGACCCUGUCUCAAAAAAAAAAAAAAAAAAAAAAAAAAAAAAAAAAAAGACAAACAAUUAAAAAAUAAAAAUAAGACAAUGAAUACUUAACAAAAAAAUUAAAAAAAUUGAAUUUUUAUUAUUACUGAGUUUAUAAAAAAAGCAUAAAAUUUUCAGGGGCUGGGAAUUUAGCUCAGUGGCAUAAGCACUUGCCUUGCAAGCAGGCAGUCCUGAGUUCAAUCCCCAGGACGGAUAAAAAUGAAAAAGACAAAAAAAAAAAGCAUAAAAUUUUUGAACAUCAACUUUUUUGGUGUACAAAUUCUAAAAAAAAAUAGGAGCUGGGCCUGGUGGUGCACACCUGUAAUCCCAGCAUUUAAGAGGCUGAGGCAGGAGGAUCCCCACGAGUUCAAGGCCAUCCUGGACUACACACACACACAAAAAAAAAAAAAACACUGAAAACAAAAUCCCCAAAAGCAGAAAUAAAUUCCUAUGUGAAGGACAAUGAAAGUAGCAAUAGAACUCUGCGAUAAAAAGUCUUUACUUCAAUUAUCACGCCCAAGGCAGUUUUUACACAUGACAAUCGAACAGUCCCUAUGCGAGUAUCACUUACACGGCCAGCACGUAUGUUUUGCUUCCUGAUCUUUUUGUAGGACUUACUUGACAUCUUGCUGGUCUUGCAGUUUUGUCAGUAGUUUCUUAUUAUACAUUGUGUAGUUAAACAUGAAAUAUCAAUAAAUUCUUAAUAUGUUGUCAUGGUUUAUGCCGGUGGCCCCCAGGCCUCACGCCUUUACAUUAUGCAUUUGUGAUUGGUUCAUUGUCUAGCUCUUGGACUGGGAAAGUGAGUGCUAUGCCCUCAAAGGGGUGGGGCCAGGAUGUGAUGUAAUGGCAUAAAGAAGGCGUGUCUUGCUCUCUCCUCGGUUUCUGCCUUGCUUUUUGCAGCUGCCAUGAACUGUGGCCCCACCAUGCCACCCUGCCUUGGAGCCAACAGAAUAUGGACUGAAACCUCCCAAAACUGUGGUUUUACCAUCAACCCUCAGGCAGCUAUGAAGGAAACCAAAUGCCCUCAGUGUCAUCAUUAUUCUCCCAUCAUCAAGCUCAUAUCAGCUGCUUUCCCAUAAGUCUUUUACUUUUCUGUGAUCCCAUGAGAAGGCCUGAUUCUUGAUGAAUUCAAGAAGGAUUCCUCCGUGUUCAUCCUGGGGUGAGGACCCUCUGGCUGCUGCCUUCAGGACGGCCGUAUCCUGUGACCAGUGGCUUCUGGGUGGGGCUAUCUCUGGCCUCCACAGGGACACAGUCUUGAGCCUGGGCUGGGUUUGGGACGGCAGCACCGGGCUGCAGAGUGCUGGGGUCCUCGGGGUUCAGGGCUCAGGGUCUCCUUCCUGACUGCGCGCCUGGGCUUGAGGAGUUCACGGGUUUCUCCCUAGCACUGCUGGUGCGGAUGGGCAGAGGAGUCUGGGAAGGGCCUGGCUGUGUGGGCUGAGCUGGGUGAGUGACACCGGGUGUCAGGCAGCCUCCCCAGGCGCUCGGCCAUGGAGACAGUGGUGACAUCUUAGAGCCAGCGCUGCAGGAUGGGUUUAGCAGAGGCCAAAGCUGCUGAGCUGGGUUAAAGGGUCUUCUGCACUCCGCUGUGCUCUGGACAGUCCCCUUCCUGGGCAGCUCCAGCCCUCUGCAGGGUCCUGGCUGUGUCCUGGAUGGAGCUGUCUACUCAGGCCAGGCGCCCUCCUGACGCUGGGCCCCGGCGUCUUGGGAGUCACUCAGUGUGGGCCUGGGGUUCCGUGGUUGUUGAAAGCCCUGAAAGCCACCUCACAGCCCCCAAAGUGCAGCUUUCUGGGGCCCUUCAAGGCCGAGGAAGGGGAGCAGCAGGGAGGCUCGGGAUCACACUGGGGCGCUGCCCCUUGCCCCUAGGUGGUGGUCAUUCUCUCGAGUCACCCCAGGAUGAGUCUGUUCCUGGGAAGCCUCCCUGCUCAUGGAGGUGGGACUCUGCCGGCUGAGCCUGCUGGGUCCUCUAGGGAUGAGACGGCAGGGCUGUCCUCAAGCGACUUGGGGACCAUCUCCCUGGACUUCUGUGCCCCUGGGCUCUGGGGUCUGAGGCGGGUGCUGGUGUCUAUCAGGGUGAUGUCCCCCAAAGACACCGGACAGUUGCUGCACAGGGUGCACCCAGCAUCUGGCCGGCAGAGGGCAGGAAGAUCCUCGCCCCACAGGGCAGGGCCCAAGCCUCCAGUCACUGGUGUGGUGGAGGAGCAGCUGGGUAGCAGCCGGUGAAACCCACUAGCCUCUUAAGGCCUAGCUGUGUGGCCUUGGGCAGCUAGCUUAGCCUUUCUGUGCCCAGUUUCUUCCCGAUGAAAUGUGCCCAGAGCCCCCACUUGUCAGAACUGUGGGGGUCAGAGAAGCCUGUGUGUACAUAGACACUCGCUUGUAUUUAAAAUUCCCCUUUACAGCACUGGAGUCUCAGUGAUUUUUUCUCAUUAAUUACAUUUUUGUUUCUAUAGACUUUAAAUUGGGCAUGGUGAGACAUACCUGUAUUUCCAACACUCUAGGAGGCUGAGGCAGGAGAAUUGCAAGUUUGAGCCUAGGCUGGGCAACCUGGCAAGAUCUUAUUUCUAAAUAAAUAAAUAGAAAUGAAACUUUA